UAGAAACUCCUCUGCUUUGUUAACAAGUGAACAAAAAUUGCAUAUACCUUUAAAAAAAAAAGUACCUUACCAACAUUGUCUUUAUUUCAUACACCGGAUACAUCCAAAGUUUGCUAUUUAUAGUUUAUUUCAGCCAAUGAACUAUAUAGCUUUUUAAAAGCUCCUACCAUCUCACUUUGUCCAUUAGUCUCUCUGGUCAAAUGUUUGGACAUGUUAUUUCUCCCACACACAUUCUCGGAUCAAGUUGCAAACUCAAAAUCAACAAAAUUACCAUACGAAAAAUUCACAAAAUAAUUGUAACUUAUAAUCUAUU